AUCUCUUUCUAGAGAUCCCUCAUUUGUGGAGCUUUUCAUCUUAAGCCUAAAUCUUCAGCUAUGGAUUAUCUUAUUAAACUUGACCUAGACAGAAUGGGGAGUUGGGCAGGGAAGAGCCUGAUGAAGUUCAACAAGAGCAAGCGUAGAGUGGUCCUGCACAUGGGGAAGAAUAUCUGCAUGCGUCAGUGCAGGUAUGAGAGUAGCAGGAGUAUGAGCCAAGAGGUCACUCCUCGGAGAACUUGCCCUAAAGCCAGCUGAAGAACAAAUAAGCGGAUGAAGGAGUAACUUUGCAUAACUGAUCUGUAGCUCACUUUGACAUGGCUUUUUUUUAAGGGUGCUUAUGGCAAUGUCACACAGUUGUCUGCAAAGAUAUUGAAGGAAUUAAGCACCUAUUUAACUCAUCUCACACCAAUUUCUCUUAAACAUAGAGGAGUAACUUUGGAGGAAAAAAAAAUGCUUCUUUGUCUUGUAUUACUUGAGAUUUUUCAUCUUCUCUCACAAAUGUGACAGGAAAUAAAAUAGGGCUCAGGAGAUACUUAAGUACUACAGAACAGUAAUACAUGUAUGCUUUAAUGCGUAUUACAUAUAUAAAUAAAAUACAUAAAUUGUUUGAUUUUUCACCUCAUUCCUAUGAGCAAAUUGAAUAUCACUGUUACUUUACAAGUUGCACAAGUUGUGCCUAACUUUUUAAUGAAGGAGGACUCAGGAAGCUUCAGAUUGAUCACUCCCAUCUUGACUUCUGAGGAGCUGAUGGAGUAACUAGUCCUGGAAACCAUUCACAGGCACAUGAAAUACAAGAAAGUCAUCUGAAGUAGUCAUCACAGAUUCACAAAAGGGAAGUCAUGCUUGACUAACAUAAUAAUUUUAUAAUGAAAUGAUUUCCUUGGUAAAUAACGGUGGAUAUUGUCUGUGUUGACUUUAGUAAGAAUUUUGACAAUGUCUCCUACUGUAUCCUCAUAGAAAAGCUGGAUUAAAAGGCAUUGAAGCCAUCUGAAAACUCUCUAGUUGCACAGUGAACCCUAAUGGUCAAUAGUAAGUCUAACACUGUACAGUAACUUUACGGAUGGUCUUAUAUUGUUCAUGGUCUUAUAUUUUUCAUUGAACUUGCAAGUAUCCAAUGAGCAAUGCAAGUGUUGUUCAUUACUUGCAUGUUUUAUUAUUUUUUUUAAUGUGUAUAAAAAAGAAAAACAACACAGAGGAAGAGAUAACUUUGGUGCCCAGUAUAUAUAAGUGGAUGAUGUCUUCUUGUUUUUCAAUUGGCCUGGUACCCAAGUUAUCUUCUCCUCCAUACCCAUUCUUACUCAAAGUUUAUAGAAGUCUGAAGUGCCAAUAUUUCAGUCACUCACACAGAUGAAACUGACUGUUCCUAUCUGGCAACAUCAUUCAGAAAUCCUAGCAAUGAACUCUGUUUUUUCAAGCACAAUUUUUUUUUAGCCUCUUCUGUUUGAGAACAUUCCCAACAAACAUUUACUCUGUGUGUAGAAUGUAACAUUUUGAAAGCAACAUUUCUUCUUAAUAUGAAGUAGUUUUUCUAAAGACUUCAUAGUCAAGUACAUAAAGAAAGCAAUAAAAGGUUUGUCAACAAAGCGAAUACUGAAGUAGAAAUUGAAAUAUUAUCCUUCUCCAAAAAUUGGUCGGUUGUCUUCCAUCAUUUUAUCUUUCAGAACCUGAUACUUUUUGAAAUCAGUUACAGCACUAUCAAGAUAGGCCCAAGGCUUAAGACUCUUUGAAAACACCAAAGGGAAUCAGAACAACUGUGGAGUACUAUAUGCUGGGGUGAGGGACUAGUGUCUGCACAAGGAAAAAUCACGUAUCUUAAGAGAAUACAAAAUAAUAUUCAUUAGGGAAUGAAUGUGUAAUAUAUAUCUCUGCUAGUAAUAGCAGAUUUCCACUUCCUCCAGGAUUGUUUGCGUUAUUGCUAUACUAAGAGAAUAUUCUGUGUAACAUCAGCAUGUUUGUUGCUGCAACAAGGUAUAUUGAAUUAAAGAGAAAAAAAAAUUGUCAAAGAUGCUUUGUGAAUGGUCUAAAGCAGGAUGAAGUAUAAUGUGAAGCUCUUCCAUGGC
ensembl:lncRNA